AAAAGAGUAUAAACAGAAAUCAAAAAACAACCACCUUGGUCUUCCUUUGGACUUCAAGGCUCAGUCUCCAGCAAAUAAAUGGAAAGGACAAGUCUGACCUAUUGGAAGAAAAGCAGUCUUUUUCUAAUUCUCUAUAACAAGGUGCUGGCAGGAGGACAGAUUUAGGUAGAUGGUGCAUCCAGCAGCCUUGCUGAGUCAGACACACUGCCAUAACCUCGGCUGCUUGGCAAACUCUGCAGCAAGGUGAGGCAGGUUCUGCGAUUCUGGACUUUUGCCAAGAAAAUCAAGCAAGGGCACCUAACAGGAGAUGCAUCCUCUUAUCACUUAUACAUGAGCUGUCUGUCUUCACAUCACUUUCAAAAAAAAAAAAAAAAAAGAGAAAAUUACAGCAAUUUGGAAUUUGAUGGAAGACUUCACAGUCCACGAGCAAAUCACUUUCUGAAGUUUUGUGACGCUAAAUAUUAUAGACAUUGCUUCAUGGACAAGACCUACAAAAUCAAGACUAAAGCCUGUUACUGAAAUAAAAACAGCACCCACAAAUAAGAAAGCUAUGUUUCUGUAAUAUAACACAGGCCUUCCCUUCUGCAUUAACAAACUGAUGAGUGGGGACAGGACCAAGAAAACAUGGGGCUGACAGACAGAGCAGUGAUGCUUCUUCCUGGGGAAAGCCAGACUCACCUGUCCACAUUCUCCAUGGAAUCUCUGGGUCACCUGUGGUGCACAAGACCUCCGGGCAACUGGAGCAGCUCAAGGCUUCUGGUAAAAGACUUUCCUUCGGCUUUGACAAAACAGAAAAUGAAAAACAAUAGUUCAAGAAGUAAAUCUAAAAGGUACAGAAAUCUUCAGGAACACUACUAAGUCAGAAAGAACAGAACUUUUUGGUCUGUGCAUCAUACAACACUUCAAUAUUGUUGUUACUUCAGAUUAAACUGAAAUACGAUCUCAAUAUUUACAAGAUAUUUCCUGGACACAAGAUUCAUAUGCUAGUAGUAAGUUACUCUUCUGAUUUCUCUUGUUUUACAUCUACCUACACUCUUAGGCAACAGCUAAAUAUCUCCAACAAGAAGAAAAUUUUGGAGGAAUCUAAAUAUACUACAAGUAAGCUAAUCUUUCUCAUUGCUGAAAACAAGUGAGUUUGGUAGAAGGGUAUCAUACUUUUUGUACAGUUUUUAUUAGUGAAUAAAAGAAAGGAAUGAGAAGAACAUACCAACUUGCUGAAUAGUUUUCAGAUACUCAGGUAUGUAGUUAAAACAGAGAUCCAUUAGAAGUAGAGAAUUAAAUAUUUUUUCCCAGUAACUUGUAAAGUGAAGCAAAGUACCUCUUCAGUAGGAAAAAGUGCCUAAUAGUCUUGGGAACAAUUUGCUUCUAAAUUAUUAUUUGUUAGCUAACAAUAGUCAUCAUAAUCAGAAGAAAAACAGAGUACAAACAAAGUACAACCCGAUAUUUUUAGGACAUUAAAAUAAGCCGAAGUAAUCCGCUCUAUUCUUUUUUAAAAACAUGAAAGUUUUUCUGUAAUACUUACUUAUACACAGGAUUAUUAAAAAUGUUAGAAAGUGGUUUUAUGUAGAUCCAAAUAGAGCUGAGUGAUAUGCAUCCUGACCCUACACACGUAGUUUUCAAUUUUUGAUCCUUUGAUGACAAGUAGAAAUAUAGUCUCCUGCUAAUCCUAAGCACCAGGGCAAGUAGGUCAGCAUGUCCAAAUGCAAACGGUUCUCAAAUUCAAAUGAUCAAGCUCAAAAGCUAAGGAAAAAAAAAAAAAAAAAAGAAUAACCUUUUAUUUAGCAUUUAAAAUGAAUCGCUUAUCCACAAUUCACUGCUUUUUUACUACAUUUCAUCAUGUAGUUGUCAGCCCUUGGAGCACAGUAUUAUAGUAAUACAAAAUGGAGGUUUAAGAACUAAAAGUAAACUAAAUUUCACCUCAGGGGCAACUGCAUGGGCUUUAGGUCCUGUCCAACCCAAACCAUGCUAUAUAAUCUAUAAUACAAGUGAGUGUUCUCAGAAACAAUAAAUUAAAAUCUAGAGCCUCAUUUGGAUUAGAACCCAGAAAGGAAAAAGUGCUGUAAUCAAGAUUAUGAAGGACAAAAGAAUCCUCCUGAUUAAGGCAAAAUUAUUUGUAAAAAAUGAAAUAAGUUGCUUUAAAAUGACAUUUUGAAAAUCAUUAACUGUGUGGCAGUCAUUGUCUAGGUCUACACCUUCACCCAUUUUUAUCCCAUUUUGCACAUCUGGCACUUUGCUUUCUUCCCUCAUUGCUU
ensembl:lncRNA